GAGAUGAAGGUCAGAGAUCUGGAAUACAGAGGAAAAUUAUCUAAUCAGAAGUCACAGCUCCCAUCAGGCACAGACAAUAGAUGGUAAACUGGUUUCAGAACUAUUCAGGCAUCAUGGGAGACAAAUCAACAGACUUCAGGAAUAAACUUCCAGAUCUUAGCUCUUCUCAUAACACUGGACAGGAAAACAUGCCUGAAGUGAUUGUGCAGAACACUUCGUAAAAAGAAAGAAAUAAGCAAGGCCCAUUCCAGCCAUAUCGGAAGAUGGUUCAAGAAACUUUACAGCAGGGUAAUCUAUAGAAAAAUGUGCCUGCACAGAGUUUAUGGCCCUUAUUCUAUAAAGCUUGCUUUCUGCUGUUCUACCUGUUAUACUGGCUGCAUAUGCAUGUGUGCACACACAAAACCCCCUUUAGGUGUUUUGGCUUGCAGUACACUACUGGGUUUUUUUCAGGCUUUUUGGAAGGCAGCUAAGCUGCUGACCUCUUUGCUACUCUGCAGCAUAAAAUCCUCAGGCUAAUAAUAAAUACACUGUCAAAAAGAA